GAUGAUUCCUGCAUUUUUCUUCAUCCAGCUUGGAGACAGAAUGGGGUAGGAAGAGGGCAUACAUUUCAGACUGCUUGGACAUCUUCUAAGCAGUAGAGGUAGAUUCGCAAGACUAAAGAUUGGAGGUUGAAGCUGAAACUGGGUUGAUUUGCUCUGCAUAAGGAUGUGGAAAGCAGCCAAAACUGGUGAAGGGAUAGAUGGAAAAACUAGGAGGAGUCUAAAGCCUGAAAAACAAGACAAUGAAAAGGAGAAGUGUAAAGGAUUCCCAUUCGUGCCUGAAGGCUGGACAGUGACUGUGGAAACAAAACGGUUUUGAGGAAGCAAACGAUAUGUAAAUCCUAAGAACAACACAAAAGCUGCUGGAAGCCAUCAGGAAGCCAAAAGCCAUGAAAGAAGCAAGAAGGAGAUCUUUGACAAUAUAGGAGAGAAGAAGUACAAUACCACCUCUUCUUACCACCUUUACUCCCUUAAUCGAUAAUUGAUUAAUGUGCCAAAAUGAUACUGUU
rnacentral:lncRNA from 1 species